rnacentral:rRNA from 2 species
UGCAGUCGAGCGAAGGGAGUACUACGGUACGAACUUAGCGGCGGACGGGUGAGUAACGCGUGGACAAUCUACCCUGUAGACUGGGAUAACACCUCGAAAGGGGUGCUAAUACCGGAUAAUGUCGAGAAGCGGCAUCGCUUUUCGAAGAAAGGAGGGAAUCCGCUAUAGGAGGAGUCCGCGUCCCAUUAGCUAGUUGGUGAGGGUAACGGCCCACCAAGGCGACGAUGGGUAGCCGGCCUGAGAGGGUGAACGGCCACACUGGAACUGAGACACGGUCCAGACUCCUACGGGAGGCAGCAGUGGGGAAUAUUGUGCAAUGGGGGAAACCCUGACACAGCGACGCCGCGUGAGUGAAGAAGGCCUUCGGGUCGUAAAGCUCAAUAGUAUGGGAAGAAAGAAAUGACGGUACCAUACGAAAGCCCCGGCUAACUACGUGCCAGCAGCCGCGGUAAUACGUAGGGGGCGAGCGUUGUCCGGAAUUACUGGGCGUAAAGAGCACGUAGGCGGCUAUAAAAGUCAGAUGUGAAAAACCUGGGCUCAACCGAGGGUAUGCAUCUGAAACUAAAUAGCUUGAGUCAAGGAGAGGAGAGCGGAAUUCCU